rnacentral:rRNA from 1 species
UACAGAGGUCUCAAGCGUUGUUCGGAUUCAUUGGGCGUAAAGGGCGCGUAGGCGGCGCGGUAAGUCGGGUGUGAAAUCUCGGAGCUUAACUCCGAAACUGCAUUCGAUACUGCCGUGCUUGAGGACUGGAGAGGAGACUGGAAUUUACGGUGUAGCGGUGAAAUGCGUAGAUAUCGUAAGGAAGACCAGUGGCGAAGGCGGGUCUCUGGACAGUUCCUGACGCUGAGGCACGAAGGUCAGGGGAGCAAACGGG